GGUUCAUAUUUUUUUUGGCUUCUUGAGAACUGAUACAAUUAAACAAACAACGAAAAAGCAUAACAGCUAAGCCACGACUGUCCUUCGCCUUUAAACUUUAAGAGGCCCAAGAUCACGGGAAACCUCUUACUAAAGCAAUAAUAGUAACAACAACACUAAACCAAACCAAUAAUAAUAAGAAUAAUAAUACCAAU